CAGCCGCCGCGGGAAUACGUAGGGUGCAAGCGUUAAUCGGAAUUACUGGGCGUAAAGCGUGCGCAGGCGGUCCGCUAAGACAGAUGUGAAAUCCCCGGGCUUAACCUGGGAACUGCAUUUGUGACUGGCGGGUUAGAGUAUGGCAGAGGGGGGUAGAAUUCCACGUGUAGCAGUGAAAUGCGUAGAGAUGUGGAGGAAUACCGAUGGCGAAGGCAGCCCCCUGGGCCAAUACUGACGCUCAUGCACGAAAGCGUGGGGAGCAAACAGGAUUAGAUACCCCAGUAGUCCCUGUCUCUUAUAA
rnacentral:rRNA from 1 species